rnacentral:rRNA from 1 species
UACGAAGGGGGCUAGCGUUGCUCGGAAUCACUGGGCGUAAAGCGCACGUAGGCGGAUUGUUAAGUCAGGGGUGAAAUCCUGGAGCUCAACUCCAGAACUGCCUUUGAUACUGAGGAGCUUGAGUCCGGGAGAGGUGAGUGGAACUGCGAGUGUAGAGGUGAAAUUCGUAGAUAUUCGCAAGAACACCAGUGGCGAAGGCGGCUCACUGGCCCGGUACUGACGCUGAGGCACGAA